GUCAUUCAGUCCUCACAACAAAACAGACGCAUACAAGUGCCUGAUUUGCUCCAGGAACUUGCAGUAUGAGUCACAAGCUGUUUUUUGAAUGAGUCAACUGUCAGAGAGUCCCACCCCCUGCUACCCUCCCUCGCACACGGGGGCACAUGCUGCCCACGCUUUUAACGUGGGCUUAACCUCACGAUGGCAUCACUUCCUCCCUCUUGAGUCAGUUAUGACACAUCAAACAGCCCAGAGCAAUGGAUCUUCAUUGACUGCGACAUGCUGUGACGAGUGGCAGCGUGUGGUGAUUUUCAGCUGAAUUAAUCGUCCAAUAAUAGUUCUUGCUCUUGGUGACUCAACAGGAAAUGAUGGAGCGGGACUAGGGCAGACGAAAAAACUGGAGUAGAGGGUGGAAGAACGAAAGGAGAAAAUACAGGGAAAAGGAACUGCUUACUUUGUCAUGGCCUAGGAUUGUGAACUAUGCAGCGGCGCUGAGCAAGAAACGCACACACACACACAAACACACAAAUUCUUCCGUUGCUAAUAAAAUGCUGUGCAGUCAGAGAUUACCUCAUGAUUCUGUGGAAUAGAGCGGUGGUCCAGGGGUCAUAUGCCAUAUCAUGAUGGUCUGCAAAAUAAUUUGUUAUAAAUUAUGUUGUGUGUCCCUACAUAUGGUACGUUUGACAAGUGCAUCAAUAAAGCAAACAUUAAACCAAUUACGCCUACCUACCUUUAGGUGUCUAAUAGCCCUGA